rnacentral:hammerhead_ribozyme from 1 species
AUGCAGCUGAUGAGUCCCGAAUAGGACGAAACGUGCGUCCUGGAU